rnacentral:rRNA from 1 species
AUUGAACGCUGGCGGCAGGCCUAACACAUGCAAGUCGAACGGUAACAGGAAGAAGCUUGCUUCUUUGCUGACGAGUGGCGGACGGGUGAGUAAUGUCUGGGAAACUGCCUGAUGUAGGGGGAUAACUACUGGAAACGGUAGCUAAUACCGCAUAACGUCGCAAGACCAAAGAGGGGGACCUUCGGGCCUCUUGCCAUCUGAUGUGCCCAGAUGGGAUUAGCUAGUAGGUGGGGUAACGGCUCACCUAGGCGACGAUCCCUAGCUGGUCUGAGAGGAUGACCAGCCACACUGGAACUGAGACACGGUCCAGACUCCUACGGGAGGCGGCAGUGGGGAAUAUUGCACAAUGGGCGCAAGCCUGAUGCAGCCAUGCCGCGUGUAUGAAGAAGGCCUUCGGGUUGUAAAGUACUUUCAGCGGGGAGGAAGGGAGUAAAGUUAAUACCUUUGCUCAUUGACGUUACCCGCAGAAGAAGCACCGGCUAACUCCGUG